ACACAUGCAUGUACGUAUAUGUAUAUGUAUAUGUAUAUGUAUAUGUAUAUGUAUAUGUAUAUGUAUGUGUGUGUGU